ACUGACUGACUAAGUGGUGAUUGGCUGGCUGACUGACUGACUAAGUGAUGACUGACUGACUGACUGACUGACUGAUGAUUGGCUGGCUGACUGACUGACUAAGUGAUGACUGACUGACUGACUGAUGAUUGGCUGACUGACUGACUGACUGACUAUGUUUUUUAUAUUAUUUAUUUUACCUUUAUUUUACUAGGCAAGUCAGUUAAGAACAAAUUCUUAUUUUCAAUGACGGCCUAGGAACAGUGGGUUAACUGCCUGUUCAGGGGCAGAACAACAGAUUUUUGUGAGGUAAUGGCUGUAUUAAUUACAGGUAGUGUGGUACCAUGAGGUAAUGGCUGUAUUAAUUACAGGUAGUGUGGUACCAUGAGGUAAUGGCUGUAUUAAUUACAGGUAGUGUGGUACCAUGAGGUAAUGGCUGUAUUAAUUACAGGUAGUGUGGUACCAUGAGGUAAUGGCUGUAUUAAUUACAGGUAGUGUGGUACCAUGAGGUAAUGGCUGUAUUAAUUACAGGUAGUGUGGUACCAUGAGGUAAAGGCUGUAUUAAUUACAGGUAGUGUGGUACCAUGAGGUAAUGGCUGUAUUAAUUACAGGUAGUGUGGUACCAUGAGGUAAUGACUGUAUUAAUUACAGGUAGUGUUGUACCAUGAGGUAAUGGCUGUAUUAAUUACAGGUAGUGUGGUACCAUGAGGUAAUGGCUGUAUUAAUGGCUGUAUUAAUUACAGGUAGUGUGGUACCAUGAGGUAAAGGCUGUAUUAAUUACAGGUAGUGUGGCACCAUGAGGUAAAGGCUGUAUUAAUUACAGGUAGUGUGGUACCAUGAGGUAAAGGCUGUAUUAAUUACAGGUAGUGUGGCACCAUGAGGUAAAGGCUGUAUUAAUUACAGGUAGUGUGGUACCGUGAGGUAAUGGCUGUAUUAAUUACAGGUAGUGUGGCACCAUGAGGUAAUGGCUGUAUUAAUGGCUGUAUUAAUUACAGGUAGUGUGGUACCAUGAGGUAAUGGCUGUAUUAAUGGCUGUAUUAAUUACAGGUAGUGUGGUACCGUGAGGUAAUGGCUGUAUUAAUUACAGGUAGUGUGGUACCGUGAGGUAAUGGCUGUAUUAAUUACAGGUAGUGUGGCACCAUGAGGUAAUGGCUGUAUUAAUGGCUGUAUUAAUUACAGGUAGUGUGGUACCGUGAGGUAAUGGCUGUAUUAAUUACAGGUAGUGUGGUACCGUGAGGUAAUGGCUGUAUUAAUUACAGGUAGUGUGGUACCGUGAGGUAAUGGCUGUAUUAAUUACAGGUAGUGUGGUACCGUGAGGUAAUGGCUGUAUUAAUUACAGGUAGUGUGGUACCGUGAGGUAAUGGCUGUAUUAAUUACAGGUAGUGUGGUACCAUGAGGUAAUGGCUGUAUUAAUUACAGGUAGUGUGGUACCAUGAGGUAAUGGCUGUAUUAAUGGCUGUAUUAAUUACAGGUAGUGUGGUACCAUGAGGUAAUGGCUGUAUUAAUGGCUGUAUUAAUUACAGGUAGUGUGGUACCAUGAGGUAAUGGCUGUAUUAA